rnacentral:lncRNA from 1 species
CCUUCUACAGUGAUCAACUAUUCUCCGAACUCCUUCCGAACUUUGUCAAUAUUCGAGCUUCUUCGACAAUGAGGUUUCUACAGUAAUCGGACUCCAUCCGAAUUUCUACGAUGGUCGACCGCCUUCAAGAUUCUAACCGGGCUCCUGUGAGAGCCGAACUUCUACUACAAGCAGUCUACUCCGAACUUCUACUACGAGCGGUCUAUUCUGAACUUCUACUAUGAGCUGUCUACUCCAAACUUCUACUACGAGCGGUCUACUCCGAACUUCUAAUAUGAGCGGUCUACUC